CCCUUAGAUGUCCUGGGCUGCACGCGCGCUACACUGGCAGUUACGGAUUGAGAUACUACCUUGUCCGAAAUGGUCCGGGUAAUCACCUAAAAGCUUGUCAUAAUUGGAAUGGAUUAUUGUAACUAGUAAUCCUGAACGAGGAAUUCCUAGUAAGUCCCAGUCAACAGCUGGUACUGAUUACGUCCCUGCCCUUUGUACACACCGCCCGUCGCUACUACUGAUUGGACGUUUAAGCAAGAUUUUUAAACACUGACAGUGUGUAGUUCACGCUAUACUACAGUGAGAAGAAGAAGAUCGAGCUUACUUGUCUAGAGGAAGUAAAAGUCGUAACA
rnacentral:rRNA from 1 species